CGGCGUGCUUAACACAUGCAAGUCGAACGAGACGAUUUAGAAGCUUGCUUUUAUUGAGUCGAGUGGCAAACGGGUGAGUAACGCGUAGACAACCUGCCGCAAAGAUGGGACAACAGUCCGAAAGGACUGCUAAUACCGAAUGUUGUAUCUCCUCCGCAUGGAAGAGAUAUUAAAGAUGGCCUCUACUUGUAAGCUAUCGCUUUGCGAUGGGUCUGCGUCUGAUUAGCUAGUUGGUGGGGUAACGGCUCACCAAGGCGACGAUCAGUAGCCGGUCUGAGAGGAUGAACGGCCACAUUGGGACUGAGACACGGCCCAAACUCCUACGGGAGGCAGCAGUGGGGAAUCUUCCGCAAUGGGCGCAAGCCUGACGGAGCAACGCCGCGUGAGUGAAGAAGGUUUUCGGAUCGUAAAGCUCUGUUGAGAGGGACGAGAGAUAUAAUCAGGAAAUGGGUUAUAGAGGACGGUACCUUUCGAGGAAGCCACGGCUAACUACGUG
rnacentral:rRNA from 1 species